AUUUAGCCCUGACAGUAGUGAUAUCCUUUUAUUUUGAAGAAAUAAAAGAUAAAAGCGAAUGGCAGGAAAUACA
rnacentral:sRNA from 1 species